CCCCCGGAAUAGCGUCAUCAGUUCUAUAAGAGAGCGUGUGCCGAAGGCCUCGGCCUUUCACAUUCGGGAAGCGUCGGGAUUAGGUGAUGGUACGCAGUUGUCUUUCGUAAGUUAAAAUGAUAAUUGGGCCGAAACUUACUGCCUUACCUAAAAAGCAGCGCAGUCAGGAUAUUGGUAGGUCGGGGGCGGCUUUGGAAACCCUUAAGUUUACAAGCAUGCGCGCACUGGAGUGCUCAUCAGGUCGCGGGGCGGCCACGUGCAGCCCUGGACCCUGAACCCCGGCGUGCGUGGGCCGUGGGCCCUCGGGGAAGCGUUCCGUGCACUCGGGGACUCUGGUAAAGCCUGUUUCGCCGUCGGUGUCAUGUGGCCAUCUUGAGUCUACUCUGUCGCUCCUGUGCCAUGGCACCCCGAGAACCGUCAGUUUGAGCCAGAUGGUGACUAUCAAGAAAUCCAAAGUGGUAAUGGGCGAAGUUUAUUCAGCAUCCGGCAAUGGACUUAUCGUAGUUGGGGAAACAGGUGUUCCGAAUAAUGUCCUGGAAGUUAUCAGGACACGUAUUUUAAAUACAGGCCUGAAUUUUUUAAAGUAAUAUUUAAGGUGGUCCGUGAUAAUUAAAUAAAAUGCUUAAUUCAUGUGGCUA